CCUACGGAGGGCAGCAGUGGGGAAUAUUGGACAAUGGGCGAAAGCCUGAUCCAGCCAUGCCGCGUGUGUGAAGAAGGCCUUCGGGUUGUAAAGCACUUUCAGUGGGGAAGAAAGCCUUGGGGCUAAUACCCUCGAGGAAGGACAUCACCAACAGAAGAAGCACCGGCUAACUCCGUGCCAGCAGCCGCGGUAAUACGGAGGGUGCGAGCGUUAAUCGGAAUUACUGGGCGUAAAGCGCGCGUAGGCGGUCUGAUAAGCCGGUUGUGAAAGCCCCGGGCUCAACCUGGGAACGGCAUCCGGAACUGUCAGGCUAGAGUGCAGGAGAGGAAGGUAGAAUUCCCGGUGUAGCAGUGAAAUGCGUAGAGAUCGGGAGGAAUACCAGUGGCGAAGGCGGCCUUCUGGACUGACACUGACGCUGAGGUGCGAAAGCGUGGGUAGCAAACAGGAUUAGAUACCCCAGUAGUC
rnacentral:rRNA from 1 species